AAUAAGUUCAUGUUUUAGCUAUUGGAUACAAUGUUUGACUCUUCGUCUUAUUUAAAUUUUUUUACGAUUAAUAUUUUUAUUGUUACUGAAUGAUAAAACAUAAACAAUACUUUACACAUGACUAAAUUUUUAAAGUUUUUUUAUAAUUUUUAAAAUAAGACAAAUAAUCAAAUGUAAGACGCAUCAAUCAAACACUGAAGUUAUU
rnacentral:pre_miRNA from 1 species